GAUCAUGGCUCAGGAUGAACGCUGGCGGCGUGCUUAACACAUGCAAGUCGAACGGAAAGGCUCCAGCUUGCUGGGGUGCUCGAGUGGCGAACGGGUGAGUAACACGUAAGUGAUCUGCCCUGCACUGGGGGAUAAGCUUGGGAAACUGGGUCUAAUACCCUAUAGGACCGCAUCGUGGUUGGUGUGGUGGAAAGGUUUUUCUGGUGUGGGAUGAGCUUGCGGCCUAUCAGCUUGUUGGUGGGG
rnacentral:rRNA from 1 species